rnacentral:lncRNA from 1 species
AGUUUUCCCAAAUUAUCGACUUAACGAAAAGUCAACUUUUUGGGUCUUUUACGGUAAAACGGUUACAAGAAACAAUAAUUGAAAAUUUCCUGGAAACUUUAUAAUUCAAAGAACCUAGCUUGUCGCUCCGGAAAAUAAUCCGGGCAUACCGGUGAGCUCGUAUAAACAUGUACCACGACUUCGGAGUUUUAAAUCUACUAUUUACCGUUUUCAGAAAAACUCAAAAACAAACUCAAGUAAUCGCUAUUUAAAUCUCUGAACGCGAAUAAAGAAAAAUCUGCGGUAACUCAUAACCCCGAAUAGUAACCUUUUAGGUACGGGGUAUUACACUUACAACACUGUGAAGGCUGGAGGUGGGUUAGGCUAAAAAAUGAUGGAGCUAAGUCGAGCUUGAAUCUGUCACGAAACUGUUAUAUUAAAGAGACAAAUUUCGAUUCAUAAGAUCAGAUUUUGAAGCAUAUGCGCAAAUGUUUUUUUUCUUCUUUUUUUCUAGUGCAGCUACUAACCUUGCAUGAAACUUAUGUGAGUGUGCAUUGUUCUGCUCACUAAUUGUUGCUUCUUUAGCUUCUCAACGUUAUGGUAUACCUUUUGUUCCCUUUAGUCAAUGAAGUCCUCAACAUGGCUUGAGCAUAUUCUGCAUUAUUCAUGCUUGUACAAGUUGCUUAUUUUUGACAUUUGAACAAACAUCAUCCUCCAUGCUCGAACUCUCCAUUAAUCGUGUUUGUUUAACCGUAAGACCUGAAACAGGAAACAAAAAAUAUAAAAUUGAAACUAAUGUGCUCAAGAAUAUUGAAGUGAAUGGAAAGCUAGAGGAUGGAAAAUAUACCUUCGGAGAAAUCAAUUCUUUCAUCCCUUUAUGCUCAUAAGGCUCUUUCAAACUCACGCUAGCUAAGCUAACAGCUCCUCACAUUUAAGGCACUUUGAGUGUUGGAGGUGGGUUAGGCACUUAGGCUUGGAAACACCGAAGCUAAGACGACCUUGAAUCUACAUAAAUGUAGCAAGUGCAUUUCACGAGGCCCGAUCUAGAAACGGAUCCGCAAAUUGGGUGUCCUAAUCUGAGGAAAUUCUAGUAUGCCGAACGGCAUGCUAUGCCAAUUCUACUAAAAACCAAAAUAGCUGAUGUCACCCAAUGCUUUUCCAAAAAAACACAACCGAAAACCCUUCCAACCAGUUUUACCUUUAGUAAGUAUAUUCUUGUCUAUACUAUUAUCAUGCAUUUAUUUUCAGUAAAUUAAAAAUUGACGAAGCAUGGUGGAUCUAUAAGUUUGAAUUUGUUUAUUUAUCUUAAUACAAAUAUAAAUCUAUCUUCUUUACUUGAAGGUAAAAAGUUAAUUUUUUCAUCAUUGGAGAAUAUAGUGCUAUAAGAUUAGAAUAUUUAGCAGAAGCUAAACAAUCAUAUAAAGAAUUGCAAGAAAAAAGAGAAAAAUUUAAAAAACUAAAAGAAAGAAAAGAUAAGCUUCUUAGAAGUACUAAAAAUUAUUGAGAUAUUAUUUUUCUGUUACAAGAAGGAUAUACGAAUCAAGAGAAAAAAUUGAAGUGUUCUUCAAGAAAUGUUUGAACAAGACCAAAAACCUCUUGAUAUUUUGAGCAUUGGUUAGAUCCGUCCUAGCUGGUAUCAGAGCCUGCUUGGCUCAAAAGCAGGUGAGAGAAAAAAGCUUAUGCCACAGAGUUGGCUUCUCUUGACAAACAAGAGAGAAUCUAAACUUAAAAAUUAUCAGUGCUAUUGUAUUGUAAAAGGAACUGAUAAGUGGGAAGUGUGAAAAUAUAAGGCAUAUUCAAGAAAAUCAAUACUCCAUUGAAUACGUUUGUAGAGUAUUAAAUACUAUCUAUGACGAACAUAUUCAUCUCCAAAAAGAGAUCGGAGUAGAAGAGCUUGAUCCAUAAAGACCAAGCUUAAUCGAGUUCCUAGAUCAUUUAUCUAGGGAUAAGACCUAUGAAAAGAUUACAGAACAACUCGAGAGAUUUAAUCUAAGGAUUAAUCAACUUGAGGAAAUAAAUUCAAAAAUUGCUAGGCUUCAAAUCAAGCUAGAUUAUCUCAAAGAGAAACAAUAUCUAAUAGAUAUUGAAAGAAAAUCAGUUCGUACUGAGAAUUUUGCAAACAACAUUCAUCAGCAAGUUGCAAAACUAAGAAAUACUCAAGAAAACCUGAAAAAGCUUUUAUAAACUCUUAUCUCCAGAAUAUGAUGAAUGAAAGAGUAGAUCUAAAAGUAAAACAGGAAAAUAUUAAAGCUAUUGGCUUUCAUCGUCCUACAGAAAAAC